UACGUAGGGGGGCGAGCGUUGUCCGGAAUCAUUGGGCGUAAAGCGCGUGUAGGCGGCCCGGUAAGUCCGCUGUGAAAGUCCAGGGCUCAACCCUGGGAUGCCGGUGGAUACUGUCGGGCUCGAGUCCGGAAGAGGCGGAGUGGAAUUCCUGGUGUAGCGGUGAAAUGCGCAGAUAUCAGGAGGAACACCAAUGGCGAAGGCAGCUCGCUGGGACGUGACUGACGCUGAGACGCGAAAGCGUGGGGAGCAAACAGG
rnacentral:rRNA from 1 species